rnacentral:sRNA from 1 species
AAAGCAGCUUCACGAUAAAAUUCGGCAGCUUCCCGUGCGUCCCAAAGAAAUGCGGAUGUAGCUAACUACCUGUCAGUUUUAGCAGCAAUUACAAGAGACAGUGGCAUGGGUGUAGCUACGUGGAAUCUAGAAUGAACCCACUGUAAUGCUUCGAGAACUGGUCGUGGUGCUAGUCUGCUGGUGCUGGUGAUGCUGCUGGUUGUUGUUGUGUUAUUGUGUUGUUGUUGUUGUUGUUGUUGUUGUUGCUGGAGAUGAAGUUGUCCACAUAUUUAUGCAAGGGGAAACGAUCCCGAGCUCGGUUGCCCAACCUGGGAGGAGGCUGAUUCCAUUUUGGGCAAUUGUCACCCCAGCCCAAUCCCUCCUUAUCAAACCGAAUAAGGUUCGAAUUGGAUAC